UUAUCGCCUGAGGAUGAGCCCGCGUCGGAUUAGCUAGUUGGUGAGGUAAAAGCUCACCAAGGCGACGAUCCUUAGCUGGUCUGAGAGGAUGAUCAGCCACACUGGGACUGAGACACGGCCCAGACUCCUACGGGAGGCAGCAGUGGGGAAUAUUGGACAAUGGGCGAAAGCCUGAUCCAGCAAUGCCGCGUGAGUGAUGAAGGCCUUAGGGUUGUAA
rnacentral:rRNA from 1 species